UGGGGAAUUUUGGACAAUGGGGGCAACCCUGAUCCAGCAAUGCCGCGUGUGUGAAGAAGGCCUUCGGGUUGUAAAGCACUUUUGUCCGGAAAGAAAACGCCGUGGUUAAUACCCGUGGCGGAUGACGGUACCGGAAGAAUAAGCACCGGCUAACUACGUGCCAGCAGCCGCGGUAAUACGUAGGGUGCAAGCGUUAAUCGGAAUUACUGGGCGUAAAGCGUGCGCAGGCGGUUUGCUAAGACCGAUGUGAAAUCCCCGGGCUUAACCUGGGAACUGCAUUUGUGACUGGCGGGCUAGAGUAUGGCAGAGGGGGGUAGAAUUCCACGUGUAGCAGUGAAAUGCGUAGAGAUGUGGAGGAAUACCGAUGGCGAAGGCAGCCCCUGGGCCAAUACUGACGCUCAUGCACGAAAGCGUGGGGAGCAAACAGGAUUCAGAUACCCUGGUAGUCCACGCCCUAAACGAUGUCAACUAGUUGUCGGGUCUUCAUUGACUUGGUAACGUAGCUAACGCGUGAAGUUGACCGCCUGGGGAGUACGGUCGC
rnacentral:rRNA from 1 species